GCGUGGCGUGGCAUAGCGCGGCGUUGCGCGGCGUUGCGCGGCGCGGCGUUGCGCGGCGCGGCGUUGCGCGGCGUUGCGCGGCGUUGCGCGGCGUU
rnacentral:tRNA from 1 species